rnacentral:rRNA from 1 species
GACGAACGCUGGCGGCAAGCUUAACACAUGCAAGUCGAACGCCGUAGCAAUACGGAGUGGCAGACGGGUGAGUAACACGUGGGAACGUGCCUUUCGGUUCGGAACAACUGAGGGAAACUUCAGCUAAAACCGGAUACGCCCUUCGGGGGAAAGUUUACGCCGAAAGAUCGGCCCGCGUCAGAUUAGGUAGUUGGCGGGGUAAUGGCCCACCAAGCCGAUGAUCUGUAGCUGUUCUGAGAGGAAGAUCAGCCACACUGGGACUGAGACACGGCCCAGACUCCUACGGGAGGCAGCAGUGGGGAAUAUUGGACAAUGGGCGCAAGCCUGAUCCAGCUAUGCCGCGUGGAUGAAGAAGGCCUUCGGGUUGUAAAGUCCUUUCGGCGGGGAAGAUAAUGACGGUACCCGCAGAAGAAGCCCCGGCUAAUUUCGUGCCAGCCGCCGCUGUAUAC